UACGUAGGGGCCGAGCGUUGUCCGGAGUUAUUGGGCGUAAAGCGCGCGCAGGCGGCCUCGCGCGCCCGACGUGAAAGCCCCCGGCUUAACCGGGGAGGGUCGUUGGGGACGGCGGGGCUUGAGGGCGGGAGAGGGCGGUGGAAUUCCCGGUGUAGUGGUGAAAUGCGUAGAGAUCGGGAGGAACACCUGUGGCGAAGGCGGCCGUCUGGGCCGACCCUGACGCUGAGGCGCGAAGGCUAGGGGAGCAAACAGG
rnacentral:rRNA from 1 species